rnacentral:rRNA from 1 species
UGGGGAAUUUUGGACAAUGGGGGCAACCCUGAUCCAGCAAUGCCGCGUGUGUGAAGAAGGCCUUCGGGUUGUAAAGCACUUUUGUCCGGAAAGAAAACGCCGUGGUUAAUACCCGUGGCGGAUGACGGUACCGGAAGAAUAAGCACCGGCUAACUACGUGCCAGCAGCCGCGGUAAUACGUAGGGUGCAAGCGUUAAUCGGAAUUACUGGGCGUAAAGCGUGCGCAGGCGGUCCGCUAAGACAGAUGUGAAAUCCCCGGGCUUAACCUGGGAACUGCAUUUGUGACUGGCGGGCUAGAGUAUGGCAGAGGGGGGUAGAAUUCCACGUGUAGCAGUGAAAUGCGUAGAGAUGUGGAGGAAUACCGAUGGCGAAGGCAGCCCCUGGGCCAAUACUGACGCUCAUGCACGAAAGCGUGGGGAGCAAA